rfam:Triticum aestivum genome assembly, contig: Triticum_aestivum_CS42_TGACv1_scaffold_434417_5DL
CAAGUACUCCCUCCGUCCCAAAAUUCUUGUCUUAAAUUUAUCUAGAUACGAAUGUACCAAACCCUAAGAUGUGACUAGAUACAUCCAUAUGUAGACAAAUCUAAGACAAGAAUUUUGGGACGGAGGGAGUAUAAU